rnacentral:rRNA from 1 species
AGAGUUUGAUCCUGGCUCAGGACGAAUUUUGGCGGCGCGCCUAACACAUGCAAGUCGAACGAGCGAGAGAGAGCUUGCUUUCUCGAGCGAGUGGCGAACGGGUGAGUAACGCGUGAGGAAUCUGCCUCAAAGAGGGGGACAACAGUUGGAAACGACUGCUAAUACCGCAUAAGCCCACGGUGCCGCAUGGCACAGAGGGAAAAGGAGCAAUCCGCUUUGAGAUGGCCUCGCGUCCGAUUAGCUAGUUGGUGAGGUAACGGCCCACCAAGGCAACGAUCGGUAGCCGGACUGAGAGGUUGAACGGCCACAUUGGGACUGAGACACGGCCCAGACUCCUACGGGAGGCAGCAGUGGGGAAUAUUGCACAAUGGGGGAAACCCUGAUGCAGCGACGCCGCGUGGAGGAAGAAGGUCUUCGGAUUGUAAACUCCUGUUGUUGGGGAAGAUAAUGACGGUACCCAACAAGGAAGUGACGGCUAACUACGUGCCAGCAGCCGCGGUAAAACGUAGGUCACAAGCGUUGUCCGGAAUUACUGGGUGUAAAGGGAGCGCAGGCGGGAAGACAAGUUGGAAGUGAAAUCUAUGGGCUCAACCCAUAAACUGCUUUCAAAACUGUUUUUCUUGAGUAGUGCAGAGGUAGGCGGAAUUCCCGGUGUAGCGGUGGAAUGCGUAGAUAUCGGGAGGAACACCGGUGGCGAAGGCGGCCUACUGGGCACCAACUGACGCUGAGGCUCGAAAGUGUGGGUAGCAAACAGGAUUAGAUACCCUGGUAGUCCACACCGUAAACGAUGAUUACUAGGUGUUGGAGGAUGACCCCCUUCAGUGCCGCAGUUAACACAAUAAGUAAUCCACCUGGGGAGUACGACCGCAAGGUUGAAACUCAAAGGAAUUGACGGGGGCCCGCACAAGCAAGUGGAGUAUGUGGUUUAAUUCGACGCAACGCGAAGAACCUUACCAAGUCUUGACAUCCCUUGACAGACAUAGAAAUAUGUAAUCUCUUCGGAGCAAGGAGACAGGUGGUGCAUGGUUGUCGUCAGCUCGUGUCGUGAGAUGUUGGGUUAAGUCCCGCAACGAGCGCAACCCUUAUGGUCAGUUACUACGCAAGAGGACUCUGGCCAGACUGCCGUUGACAAAACGGAGGAAGGUGGGGAUGACGUCAAAUCAUCAUGCCCUUUAUGACUUGGGCUACACACGUACUACAAUGGCGUUAAACAAAGAGAAGCAAGACCGCGAGGUGGAGCAAAACUCAGAAACAACGUCCCAGUUCGGACUGCAGGCUGCAACUCGCCUGCACGAAGUCGGAAUUGCUAGUAAUCGUGGAUCAGCAUGCCACGGUGAAUACGUUCCCGGGCCUUGCACACAAAGCCCGUCA